CAGACAACGCUGUUAAAAGCCAAAUUGUGACCUAGUGUCAGUCAGUAUUGUUCCUUUGGAAUUGGCUCACUUUUGUGAAUCUGUAACAUCUGAGCUUAUGAACCACUUAAAAAGUCAACUAUAGCCGCAUGGUGGAGAAAUUACUAAACUGCUGCCUAAAAUGAAUAAAACUGUGCUUAUCUUCCAAAGAAAUGUUUACUGAAAGACACUUUAAGGAGAGUUCUGGGUAGAACUGUGGAGUGUGCAAUAAGAUUUUAAACUUUGUUUUAUAGUGUUUAGUUGUUUCUUCCAUAUAUUCCUUAAUGAAGAUGCCAUAUUAAAGCUUUUUGUUUUUAUUUAGCUGCCUGAAUGUCAUUGAAUGACUCUGUAAUGCUUGGACUAGUACUUUUUAAACCCCUCGCACAUUACUGUCUUGUUUCAGAGAAACACAGUAAAUUGCACGUUGUCAUAAAUUAAGUACAGGAGUGAUGCAGUUAAAUUGCUCUGUGCUCUUUUAAAACCUGUCUUAGUAUAAUUUACCUGGCUGCUUCUAAUUUUAGCUAAUACUUUCUUUCCCCCUCAUUUUUAAUACUGCAGAAGAAUCUAUCAAUAGACUGGUCAUUUGUAUGCUUGGCACUUAACCUGGUGGUUAUAAAGUAUGAAUUAUUGAGAGAAAAUAUAUCCGUUCCAAUCUGUCUCUCCUAAGCAAUGUCUGCUCUUUUAUUUUAUACUGAGAUGUUUAUCUUCUUCACAGGUCUUCCAGCUAGGCUAGUUUACUUGGACUGUUAUAAAUUAUUUGCAUUGGAAACAUAGAGUCAUGAUAUUUAGUUUAGAUACAUCUAUUAAUCUAAAAUUAACUAAAAAGAAAUACUUUUUGGUUAAUGAGAAGCUUAUUGCACUGGUAGUUAUUUUCCGUACAGCCUUAUUCUACACCUCACACUAUGACUGUAUCAGAUUCAAAGGUAUUAAAGUAAGAGUUAUUAUGGUCAAGAGGUAUAAAAAGCUCUUUAUUUCCUGAGGCUUUAAGAUGUCGGUUGGCCAAAGGAUCUGUGUGUUCUUGUUUGGAUCAGGUGCUGAGAGAAGAAAAUGAGCAUAUACAGCCAAAAAUCCCCAAGAGAGACAUAUUUUAAAUUCUGGAAACACAAAAUAAGUUCCAGUCCUGAUUUUUAAAUGCAACCUAUUAAAAUUUAUCUUCAGCCAUGACUUUCUCCUGUAACUUCCCUGCCUGCGGUGACCUGGCUUGGUCUCUGUCUGCUUGCAGUGCCUUUGUAAUUUGAUGAAUACAUCCUAAGACACAGCGUGGUCACACAUUGCUGUACUGAAGCACCACAGACAUUUUAUACAUUUAGGGAAAUAAAUGUAGGAGCUGGCUGAGUAAGCAAAUAUGUAUUUUUAGACACAAAGGCAAGCAGUGUUGGCCUAGUCCCUGCAGGCCCUCAAAAGAAUUGUCAUACUGUUUCAUUUGUAGAGAAUAAAUAGAUACAGCUAUUAUUGCACCCUAAUUCAGGCAAAAUCCAGCAUGGUUGGGGUGACAAUGCACGCUGUGUUUUCUGCUUGACUUCAGUAUAUGCUGUGUGUGUUUCGCAGUAGCAUUUUCAAUGAAGGCUAGAAAAGGAAAGCUACAAACUACUUUCCAAUAUCUCUGAAUUCUUUUACAUCUGUUUUCUAAUUUUGAGCUCAGGGAAAAGAAGUUGCUAAUAUAACAUGUGGGAGUAAAGAGAUUUAGAGAAUAAGAGUGAGAUAUGCAAGGUCGUACGGGUGUUAAGGUUAAGAUAAUUUUAGGAUGUGAAUGGAGGGGUUUGAUCCAUGUUAUUGAAUGCUUUAUUUGAAUUUAAAAUGAUUACUUGCUGUACAUGGUUUGUUUUGGUCAGCAAAGACCAUGCAACUUUGUUUAGUCUUCCCAAGGCAUGAUUAUUGGCCACCAUGCUCAUGAGCUGAAAGGUGUUGUAGUGGUUGAAUAGCAGCAGAUGUGGAAAUGAAGAAGAGAACAAAACCUUGAAAAGCAAGACGACUUUUUGCAGUGUUCCUGCUUCUCCAGAGAGUGGUGUCAGUGUGCAUGAACUACCUUCAUAUGAAAUGAAAAUAGGCUGGAGGAAGCGCCCAUGAGCACAGUUAAUGUCUUCCUUCCAACUGCAGGUGGAAGCAUGACAGAGAAGUUUCCUGAUCUUUCUGUAUAAAACAGCCUGAAUGUAAGCCACUGAAAAUUUCCUCCAAAAA